rnacentral:rRNA from 1 species
UACGUAGGGUGCAAGCGUUGUCCGGAAUUAUUGGGCGUAAAGAGCUCGUAGGCGGUCUGUCGCGUCUGCUGUGAAAACUCAGGGCUUAACCCUGAGCUUGCAGUGGGUACGGGCAGACUAGAGUGCGGUAGGGGAGACUGGAAUUCCUGGUGUAGCGGUGAAAUGCGCAGAUAUCAGGAGGAACACCGGUGGCGAAGGCGGGGUCUCUGGGCCGUAACUGACGCUGGAGGAGCGGAAAGCAUUGGGGAGCGAACAGG